rnacentral:lncRNA from 1 species
UGUAUGGACCAAUAAAUAAAAAUGUGUCUUUUUUUGUAUCUCUAGGGACAGAAAGGGGAAGGACAUCCAGGCCCCAGAGGCUCACCCGGGCCACCUGGACCUCCUGGACCCUCAAUCUCAGACAGGACUACAUUUAUGGAUAUGGAGGGUUCUGGAUCAUUGCCGCAUUUAUGUUGUCAUCCUGGUCUACCUGGGCCUCCUGGGCUUCCUGGGCCGCCUGGGCCCCUAGGACCAGACUGGCCAACUGAAUCAGAAUUAGAACCUUUUGAAGCUGGCCCCACUGGUCCCCCUGGACAAAAUGGGUUCCCUGGGCGUCCUGUAAGAAAUUGCCCCCUCUUCAUUAAUACCAUUUAUUUUAAAACAUUUAGUAGAACUUUGUUUGUGUUCUGUUUUUCCCUUUUUAUUAUGACUCAGGGGCCCCCAGGACGACCUGGAAAACCUGGUCCUCCAGGCCAAAAAGUAAAUAUUAAUAUGAUUUUUUUUAUUAUUUUUAAUAGGCCUGAUAUUAAAAUGAAAUCAAACUAUUUAUUUUUUCUCUCUCUCUUUUAG